GGCGUAAGGGCGAGUAACACGUGGGUAACGUACCUCAGCGCUGGGGAUAACCUUCCGAAAGGGGGGCUAAUACCGAAUGAGGUCAUUUCGCGCAAGCGAGAUGGCCAAAGGUGGGGAUCCGCAAGGACCUACCGCGCAGAGAGCGGCCCGCGUCCUAUCAGCUUGUUGGUGGGGUAACGGCCUACCAAGGCGACGACGGGUAGCCGAGUUGAGAGACUGACCGGCCGCACUGGGACUGAGACACUGCCCAGACUCCUACGGGAGGCUGCAGUCGAGGAUCAUUCGCAAUGGGCGAAAGCCUGACGAUGCGACGCCGCGUGAACGAAGAAGGCCUUCGGGUUGUAAAGUUCUUUGAGCAGGGGCGAACGCUUUCCCGCGAACAGCGGGUAGAGCCUGACGGUACCUGCAGAACAAGCCACGGCUAACCUCGUGCCAGCAGCCGCGGUAAUACGAGGGUGGCUAGCGUUGUUCGGAUUUACUGGGCGUAAAGGGGGUCUAGGUGGUAUGCUAAGUCUUCUGUGAAACCCCGGAGCUUAACUCCGGAACUGCAGGGGAAACUGGCAUGCUAGAGUACGUAAGACGCAUGCGGAAUACUGGGUGUAGCGGUGAAAUGCGUAGAUAUCCAGUAGAACACCUGCGGCGAAAGCGGCCUGCGUGUACGUUACUGACACUGACGCCCGAAAGCGUGGGGAGCAAACAGGAUUAGAUACCCUGGUAGUCCACGCUGUAAACUAUGCGCACUAGACGUUGGCGGUAUCGACCCUGCCAGUGUCGUAGUUAACGCGUUAAGUGCGCCGCCUGGGGAGUACGCUCGCAAGA
rnacentral:rRNA from 1 species